UGGGGAAUUUUGGACAAUGGGGGCAACCCUGAUCCAGCCAUGCCGCGUGCGGGAAGAAGGCCUUCGGGUUGUAAACCGCUUUUGUCCGGAAAGAAAAGGCGCCACCUAAUACGGGGCGUUCUUGACGGUACCGGAAGAAUAAGCACCGGCUAACUACGUGCCAGCAGCCGCGGUAAUACGUAGGGUGCGAGCGUUAAUCGGAAUUACUGGGCGUAAAGCGUGCGCAGGCGGUCCGCAAAGUCUGAUGUGAAAGCCCCGGGCUCAACCUGGGAACUGCAUUGGAAACUAACGGGCUCGAGUGUGGCAGAGGGGGGUGGAAUUCCACGUGUAGCAGUGAAAUGCGUAGAGAUGUGGAGGAACACCGAUGGCGAAGGCAGCCCCCUGGGCUAACACUGACGCU
rnacentral:rRNA from 1 species